GUGUUCCUGUUGUCAAUAACCCCCACCACAUUCUUUCAUACGCAUUUAAAAUGCUGCGCACUAGAAACGGUAAAUUAUUUCUACACUUAAAUGGUUAUGUUGGUGAGAAUUUGUUUGCGGAGGAGGAUGAAGUGGGAACAGGAAAUAGAAUUACGGCGGGAUAUUUGAAAUAUCAAUUGUUGAUAUUUUUAUAUAUUGUUUAAAAAUAACAACAGUUGAAAAUUUUUUUCAUUUAUCAAUAACAUUGAAGUUCUCCAUAUUUAUUAAAUAUCAAUUGCGAAAAUUUUCAAUAUUUUAUACUAUUGAAAUGUAACUAUAUUACUGGAUAUUUCGCUUUUGGGAUAAUUUAUAUUUACGACAAGCUUCUGGACAAUGACGUUCUAAAUAUCGACGUUGGGAAAAUGCUUUUAAACAAAUUCCACACUUCCAUUCCCACUGAUGAUGAUUUCUCGUUCUUUGAUGAGCCCUCAGAACUCACCGAUCGGCGAAGGAUUUAUUGCAAACGGGACAUUCGAAGGGACGUUCUCCAGUGUGAAGUCGUAAAUGUCCUUUUAACACCCAAGGACGAUCAAAACUUUUAUUACAAAAUGGACAACAAUGCAUGACUUUAU